GCCUGGCUAGCUCAGUCGGUAGCGCAUGAGACUCUUAAUGUCAGGGUCGUGGGUUCGAGCCCCACGUUGGGCA
rnacentral:tRNA from 1 species